GACGAACGCUGGCGGCGUGCUUAACACAUGCAAGUCGAACGGAAAGGCCCUGCUUUUGUGGGGUGCUCGAGUGGCGAACGGGUGAGUAACACGUGAGUAACCUGCCCUUGACUUUGGGAUAACUUCAGGAAACUGGGGCUAAUACCGGAUAGGAGCUCCUGCUGCAUGGUGGGGGUUGGAAAGUUUCGGCGGUUGGAGAUGGACUCGCGGCUUAUCAGCUUGUUGGUGGGGUAGUGGCUUACCAAGGCUUUGACGGGUAGCCGGCCUGAGAGGGUGACCGGCCACGUUGGGACUGAGAUACGGCCCAGACUCCUACGGGAGGCAGCAGUGGGGAAUAUUGCACUAUGGGCGGAAGCCUGAUGCAGCAACGCCGCGUGCGGGAUGACGGCCUUCGGGUUGUCAACCGCUUUCGCCUGUGACGAAGCGUGAGUGACGGUAAUGGGUACAGAAGCACCGGCUAACUACGUG
rnacentral:rRNA from 1 species